UAGGGNUCGAUUCCGGANAGGGANCCUGAGAAACGGCUACCACAUCUAAGGAAGGCAGCAGGCGCGCAAAUUACCCAAUCCUAAUACAGGGAGGUAGUGACAAGAAAUAACAAUACAGGACUUUUUGGUUUUGUAAUUGGAAUGAGUUAAGUAUAAACCCCUUUACAAGUAUCAAUUGNANGGCAAGUCUG
rnacentral:rRNA from 1 species